CCUACGGGUGACAGCAGUAGGGAAUCUUUCACAAUGGGCGAAAGCCUGAUGGAGCAACGCCGCGUGCAGGAUGAAGGCCUUCGGGUUGUAAACUGCUUUUAUAAGCGAGAAAUAUGAUGGUAACUUAUGAAUAAGGAUCGGCUAACUACGUGCCAGCAGCCGCGGUCAUACGUAGGAUCCGAGCAUUAUCCGGAGUGACUGGGGGUAAAGAGUUGCGUAGGUGGCAUAAUAAGUAGCUAGUGAAAUCUGGUGGCUCAACCAUUCAGACUAUUAGCUAAACUGUUAAGCUCGAGACCGUGAGGGGUAACUGGAAUUUCUAGUGUAGGAGUGAAAUCCGUAGAUAUUAGAAGGAACACCAAUAGCGUAGGCAGGUUGCUGGGACGGUUCUGACACUAAGGCACGAAAGCGUAGGGAGCAAACGGGAUUAGAUACCCGAGUAGUC
rnacentral:rRNA from 1 species